rnacentral:misc_RNA from 1 species
UUUCCGUAGGUGAACCUGCGGAAGGAUCAUUAUUGUAUAACAGAGGUGCGAGGGCUGUCGCUGACCCGAAAGGUCGUGCACGCCCGAGUGCCCUCACACACAUCCAUCUCACCCCUAUGUGCACCACCGCGUGGGUCCCCCUUUGGCUUGUUCGGAGGGGGGCUUACGUUUUCACACAAACUUUGUAUGCAGUGUAGAAUGUAUUUUUUGUUUUUGCGAUCACGCAAUCAAUACAACUUUCAACAACGGAUCUCUUGGCUCUC